GCGAUUAUGGGGUAGCGGUAACCUGCGGUCUUCCCAUGGCCGCGCCUCGGGUUCGACUCCCGGUGGUCGCA